GAUUUCGUUCUUCCAAUGGUUCUCUACAACAUCACAUUCAAGCCGACGAAAUCAUCCUUAACCUACUUGAUCAACAUCUUGAUCAUCAUCGUCUUCACUGGUGCAGGGCUAAUGGGCGCAUUUUCUUCUAUAAGGAAGUUAAUUCUUGAUGCCAACCAGUUCAAGCUCUUUAGUAGUAACGUGGUAGGUUAGGAUACAGGAAAAUAAACUCCGCAGUUCCUAUGUACUUGCACCUAAUAGUUACAGGAGAAAGAAAGUUUUCGAAGGGAAGAAAAAGGAACAUUCAAGGGGGUGAUUGGUUAGUCAUGAAUACUAGAACUGUCCUCUGCUUUGUGCCAACGAUAGGAGGUGGGAUAUUUCUAGGCAUCGUCAUCUGGAAGAGUAGACAAGUUGAAAACCCAAGCUUCAAUCCAACAUACAAAGAGGCAUUUCUUUCUGUCCUCUGCUCUCUCAAAGAAAUGUGGUCUCGAUAGAUUCUGCAAUAUAAACACAUGCUAACCUGCGACGGCACCUGACAUCAUGCACAGCACCUUUCCUUUUGACUGGUUGUUCCGUACUUCAUUAUAAUCGGUGCAACUAUACGAGCAAACGCAUAGUAAGCAAUCCCCCUUUCGGCCAGUUCUUCCCAGCAACGACUUAUAAUCAUGGAUCGUACGUAAAUGACGUCCUAAAAAUGAUAAUUGGUGUUGGCAACAUCUUUACCAUCGAGAGAAAAGGCUUUGAACAACGGAAGCUAAAAGGUUUCUUGUUCCUAACUACCAUUGGAAGAACGUGAGAGAAUGAAAAGCAUGCCGACAGCAUCGGGCUGAAGAAAACAGAAUGUCCUUGAUCAUCUACAGACAUUCUAGUCUUUUGCUUAAAGAAAAAUUGUAGUUGAUUUAUGUGUCCGAGGAUGGAAGCUGAAUUAGCAUAUUGAGGCUUUUGAAAUUUGAUCACUUCCUUUUGUUUUUAUUCAAAAUUAAUCUGGUAGGAUGAUUUCAUCUUGGAAUGACCUCUCAGUUUCUUUAAAUUGCGACUACAUACAAUUGAAGGUUUUAGUUGGACGGGCGGGCGGAACAGAUGAGCAAAGGGUAGUACCUGUUUGUCCUCCGAAUGUGCCAUGAGUAGAUGUUUCUGAAUAGAUUAGGGAUUUGCAGAUUAUCAGUAUCAUUCUUUGCUUGUCCUUGGUUCCCGAUCCAUGACUGCAUAAUGUGAAUUGAGUGUGGUAACACCCAAAAGCAGAGACAGGCAAGCUUAUUGAGUGCGCUGUCUUUGUGUGCAAGAUUAUCUUUUGAGAUAUUUCAUCUUGAUGUGGGGUGUGUAUCUGUGAAAGUUCGCUGUUCUCUGACUUUUGUUCACUAUAAUGUUAUGCUGUUUGAAAUUCGUGGACCCAUUUUGUUGUUUAUUAUUAAGCUCAGUGAAUACAUUUGUCAGAUAGAACAACCAAUACACGUUUUCCACGAUGAAGAAUACAAAUCAAGAGGGUGGCACUUACCCCUCCUACAACUUCAACAUCUCAGUCAUCUGGACUCCUUUCCUCAUAAAAAGCAGCGAUUUUCGAGGACUUCAAUGGCGUCUCCACAUCGGCAGUUGAGCUUCAUCUGGACAAGCUUUAUACAAAAUGGACUAGUUUGUAUCCAAACUUGGAUUACAUGAUAAUAUCAACGGGGAAGUGGUUUCUCAAGACCGCAAUAUACUAUGAGAAUGGUCGAGCCGUGGGCUGCCAUAACUGUAAGAAAGGACAUUUCCGAGAAGGCAUUCGAGUUUGCCUACAGGAAGACCCUGCAUAACGUGGUGAACUUCAUAGCAAAAUCUAAGCACAAAGGUCUGAUAUUUUUUCGCACAUCCACACCAGAUUAUUUUGAGAAUGGGGACUGGCAUAACGGUGGGACCUGUCGAAGAACGGCUCCUGUCAAAGAAGGUGAGAUCGAAUUGAAGGACCUGAACCGAAUUCUCCGUGAUAUCGAACUCAGCGAGUAUGAGAAGGCAUCAGCCGCCAUAGCUGCUAAAAACGGCGUGAAUCUAAAGCUUCUCGACUUCACUAAACUCUUGCUGACGAGGCCCGAUGGGCAUCCGGGUCCUUACCGGGAGUUUCAACCAUUUGCGAAGGACCAGAACGCCAAAGUCCAGAACGACUGCUUGCACUGGUGCUUGCCUGGGCCUAUCGACACUUGGUACGAUGUGAUAAUGGAAAUUGUGGCGAAUGCGAGUUGAAUCAGAGUAGCAAAACCCGAGUUUUAAUAGAUAGAAUUGGUGAGGUUGUAAACGCACGCAACAGGGCGAUGCACGCUCCUCAGAAGGAGUUUGCAGUCUGGAUUUAUUGCUGAUGGUUUUUUUUAUACGUUUGAUGGACCUACUUAAGUCUGUCCGCCCAUGUUGGGCCAAAACCCGGCCCGUAAAUGAAGGACCCAUAGAAGAGUGCAAUUACUGUAAAAAAAAAAAAAUGGGGAUAAGAGCGGUUACGUUAUUUGAGCAAUUUUUUUUUUUUUUUUUUGGUCAGUCGAGCGGUUACCUUAUCUGAGCAAUUAAGUUAUCUAAUUAUUCCUUAUAAAAGUGCGACAACGGUGUUUAAUCUGUGCAAAUCAAGAUAUGUCCGACUACGUGAUAUACUUUUUGAUCGAUGUAACAUGUUUUCUGGGCACGUUUUCCGCGUUUUCAUUUUUCCAGUAUUUGAGUAUCGAAUUGUUAUUUUGGGAAUCUGUUUCCCUACAGUUGCAAUGGUUGUGAUUCUGCUCUACUUCCUUCUUCAGCUCUCCCAUUUUGCUCAGGUAGUACACAGACCUUAUGGCCAGUCAAGGUAUUAAUUAGUCUGAUUGUACAAAAGAGAGCAUCUUCUCUGAAGUCAAACAGAAACGAUGUUGUAUUGGCAAAAGGAAUGGAAUGGAGUUGUAUUCCACCAUGCGGUUUAUCUAAUUGCACUACUUGAGAUCGAGCUCCACUAGACUCAAUUGGUUCGACCGAGAUACUGACUACGGAUCACUUCUAAUGUCCCGUGGUAUCGAUUGCGUGACGACGCCCUGAACCGGAACCAUUUCUUAGAGAAAUAAAAAAAGGGUGUUCCAUCGUGGUCGUCAUUGCACGUCCUUUCCCUUCUGCACCCGGACGGACCAAGCGAUGUACACCUCCACACCUGAAAGUUAGGUCUCCCCUAGCUGUCCAAGAAGGACCAUUCAAAAAAAGGUGAAACGGACCUUUUCCUUAAUUCUCCAUGGUAAGGAACAGACAGAGACACGACUUAAGAAGCAGAUUAACACGAUAAAAAGCGAAGAGAAUCAGUUCGUGGGGGAUAUUAUGAUAAACGAGAUCAUGCCAUAAAAAAGAGGAAGUGGGGUUCCAUUGGAUAUGCCGUCCAAAAUGCUGCGUCCUUCCUCUUCCAGAAUUCCACCCGUUCCGUUUAAAAAAGGGGAAUCUGCGAGGUGGUCCCACGUUCCAUCCUCGUAUAUGUCGCGGUUAAAAAUAGAAAAGCUGUCUCCCUCCAUGUUAGCGCGUCCUAACCCGGCAAGGUGCGUGUCGUUUCGUGUUGGCGCAUGUCGACCACCAAGCUCGUGCGUGUGAGCUUUAGGACUUUUAUCAUAGUCAGGACGCAAUCAAACACUCCAGUCACGCCACUCCAUCCUCCCGGUUUCGUGCCCGCAACAACGACAAUUAUUAACUCACUCUUUGCUUCCUACAAUAAGCAGAAUAAAAUGGCGUAAAGAAUUUAAAAUACGGUGCUAAAAUAAUCGUUGUUAGCAAUGUAAAUCGUACAAAAAGUAAAGAUAAAAGAUAAGUUUACUCAAGAAAACGUCGAGUUCUGUAAUUGACACUUGGGGUGCUUAUAACACAUACCACUCGGUGGUUACCGAAAUUCUAAUUGAAUUUAAAUCCACGAGCAACUUCCUACUCUAAUGAGAGGUUAUAGGAAAAUAUAAUAUAUAUAUUAUCUUGACGGUUACGGUUGCAUUGACUCUAUUAUCGAUUACUUGAGUUUGCUGAUUUCAUUGACUAUAUCAUCGCGAUGGGUACAUCAAUCCAAUCACCUUGAUAGUUACAUGUUGGUGUUCAUGACCUCGCCGACUAAUGAAGGCUCUUGUUAAUAACGCAAUUGAGGACAUUAUUGGCAAGUUGUUGAUUCCCUUCAAAUUAUUCAUUGUUUUGCUGACUUUUGUUUUGAUUAAACUCUGUUGUUAUCCAUUAAGUUCGUCGCUUGUCAAUGAUAAUUGAAACUUGGCCGCUUUUUUGGAUGUCAACAAUAUAUGAAAUUAAUUCCCCCUUUUAACUGCAUUUUUAAUGCCGAAGCUCAGAAGGAAAAUUGUCUUCUGUUUUCUAGAAAGAAAAAAACUUAACUUAUUGGCGAAAAUAACAAUUUUCAGCUUGAAUAGAAAUCUUGAUCAGGUGUUCGGUGGUGUCGUCUUCCACAGUAAGAAAAUUUCCCUUUCACUUGACAAUGAAACUAAAUCGAAAGUUUUAAAAACAUUCGACCUUUAUUUUUAUCUUGCGUUCUUAUAAAAACUAAAAGAGCAAUAUUCUCAUUCAGAUUUCUCCCAUUUAAAAAAUAAAUAAAUGAUUUGAAAAGCAUUUUUCCAGAAUUGGUGACUUGUAUCUUUCGAAAUAAUUAGUCAAACGAUGCGCCAAUUACCUAAACAAACCAAUCCACCGAAUUUCACUUUUCGAGAUAUAAAAAGUCAAACCCUAUUUUUUUUUUCCUUUCUUUCCCAAGUCUAAUAGCGAUCCGAUCAGACCGGAGGCAUAAAAUCAAAGAUAAAAUAAAGUCAUUAUUAAUGAGAAUCAAUAUUAAUGAAAGGCUUUCUUUAUAUCAAAUCGCUCUUUUACUACCCUAUCAAAUACUUUUGAAAAUAAAAUAAAAUUAAACAGCUUUCGUCCCACCAUCAUAAUUAUUAUUAUCAUCAUCAUUAUUAUAUGUGAACACGUUCUUAAUAGAUCGAGACUCCAUCUCCCUCAGUCUCGAUCCAUUUCUCCUUCUUUUUAAAAAAAAUAAAUAAUUUUUUUUUUAAAUAAAGUAAAAAUAUCACCGAGCACAAAUUCCUCUCGCUCUCUCGCACCAAACUCCAGCUUCCGGGGGCCUCUAAACCGCGCUGGGGGCGCACGCCUCUUAACCUGCGCACGCCCCCACGUCACGCGCAUCAAGCUCUGCUGCUCCUUUGCUUAUAACUUUUUCCCCGCUCCUCCUCCUCGACCGGUUCGGUCCUUCGUACCAGAAGUUCACCCAAUGGCGAGCCCUCCCGCGCCCCGCCGCGACGCCGACGCCGGCGCCGCCUUCGUCCUCGAGUCCAAAGGUAAAAACCCACCGCUCCACUCCGGCGGCCGUCGAAUGCAACGCCGGCGAAGUGCUUGCUCGUCUGUUCGUUCGUUCGUUCGUUCGUUCGUUUUCGUUUCCUUUUUCGGAUCGAGGAGAGACUUUUUCUUCAAGCCUCGAUUUUGCCUUCCGUGCUGUGGUCGACAGGGGAGUGGUGGCACGCGGGGUUCCACCUGACGACGGCGAUCGUGGGGCCGACGAUACUGACGCUGCCGUACGCGUUCCGGGGGCUGGGGUGGGGGCUGGGCUGCCUCUGCCUCACGGCCAUGGGGGUCGUCACCUUCUACUCCUACUCCCUCAUGUCGCAGGUGCUGGAGCAGUGCGAGAAGGAGGGCCGCCGCCACAUCCGCUUCCGCGAGCUCGCCGCCGACGUCCUAGGUGAGUUUUACCUACCUAACCUCCCCCUGCACGUCAUCAUCGAUCCGUCCGCCGCCGUUCGCGCCGGAUAAGUUCGACCGGUUCGUCCGAGGCCGCCGCGAGAAGACGACAAUCUCGACGCGUUGGUCCUCUUGCGUGUUUUCACCGAUAAUGCCGAUCGCGCUUUAUGGCGCAAUCUCGGUUUUUAAGAUUCGUUCCUAGCGGCUUUUCAGUUUAUCAAAAGUUCCUCUCCAUUCAUUUUUAUUUUAUUUUUUCUAUUAAUGAAUUAUGAGCGAAUCAUCACGCAUUUUUCGCUUAUUGAAAAUUUCAAAAUACUUGAAAAUUUUAUAAAAUUUGCCAUGUGAUGAGACCUUUUUCAUGAUUUUUUUUUGAAUUUAUGCAGUAUUUAAGAUUGGAGAUAAAGUAGUUAAUCUUCUUAUUCCUUUGUGAAUGUUAAUCCUUUUAAGUCCCCCCCCCCCUCCCCGGGGCCCCCCAACAAAAAAAGAGCAUAACUAGAUCCAAAAAAUUUAAAGAAGUUAGAACUCACAGAUUUUUUUUUUUUUUGGAUAUAUUGAGAAUCACGUUUUCUUUCUUAUUCGUUUAAUUUUUAGCAAGUCUUUACACCAAUCAAUAUAUGGCAAUGGAAUCAGGGUCUACUAAAUUUUAAUUUUUUUUACAAGCUGAAUCUAACUCAUCUUAUUUAAAUUAUAGGAUAUAAGUUGGAUUCUAAAAAAUUCUGGGAAUCUCCAUGUUUAUUUUUUCCUCACGUAUCCCAAAUCUGGAAAAUCGUGACCGUACCGUUGCUCCAUAUUCAGAUUUCUAAUAUAGAUUCUGUGAAUCAUAACAAGUGAAAAUAAUUAUUGAUGUUUCGCGGAUGGUGUAAGUAGGUUCUAUUUUUCGGGCAUAUGGAGGAAACAUUCUGGUAAAAUGGUCGUCGUGGACAAGGAAAAAUGGGACCGUUAGCAAUGGGCGGUAGACAGAAUCAUUCGGAUUUUUUUAUCAUUCGGUGGCUGCGCUGGCAAAUGGACGACCAUUGGAAUGCGGGUCGGCGUUAUGAUCAGCCGUGAAUACUAAAAACGCCCGCACGGAUUGUGUACACGCGUUGGCCAGCGGCUGGACUUUGGUAGUUGGCGGCUACUUUUCUUUUCUCUGUUCAUUUUGUAUUUUGGUUUAUAUUUCGUAAUGCUUGCGUCAUAUUUUCUUGGAGCUUGGUGGCCCAAGGCCCAUGGCUUUAAUGGGUAGAGUGGCCAGUCCGUCGAUUCUUCUUCUUGGGUCGACAAGAGAGAUUUUAGUUGGGUCUAAUUUGAUAAGUUAAUUCAGUGCGUCUUUUAGUCAUUCGGAUGAUGGAUCCUUUACCAUAUGGAUAAAAAUUCUCGUGGGUAAGUUUCUUUUUACUUACGAAAAUGAUGCAGUCGCUACCGUUCUAAUGUGUGCAGAUUUUAUGGUCUUGGCUUAUGUUGUUUUAUAGGAUCGGGAUGGAUGUUUUAUUUUGUGAUAUUCAUACAAACUGCCAUCAACACCGGGAUUGGAAUCGGAGCUAUUCUACUGGCCGGAGAAUGCCUUCAGGUAUGUCUUCUUUCUAAUUCAGUGUGUGAUACAGUUUCAUGACACUUUUGCGAUUUGCACUAGCUUCGAUAGGCAUACCUAUGGAAAAUUAUCAAAAAAAAUCCUAAAUCUAUUAUAAUUAUAUCAAUUUAAUUUUAAACUUAUUUGUUUGGUCAAUUAAGUUCUUAAAUUUUUGCAAUUAUGCCAAUUCAGUUCAUCCCAGCCAAAUUUAGCUGGUUGGUGAAUAAGUUUUAAUAUUAUUUUUUUCCAAUUUUUUAUUAAUUUUUUAAUCUUUUCAUUUUUUUUCCUUUUUUUUUCUCCCUUCCCUCCUUUAGUGAUCGGCUAGAGGUGAGGGGAUCGAUGAGGGGUUGCCUCCCCAAUGGCUAGGCAGCCCUCGCCCAGUGACGGUGGGGUGAGCUCGCCCUCGGUUUGGCUUGGCGAGUCACUGAAAGAAGGAGGGAGGAGAGGGAAAAAAAAAAAGAGAGAAAAAAAAUUGGAAAAAAUAAAAUAAUAUUAAAAAAUUGUUUGUUGGUACCUACUAGAGAUCAUGUCAACAUUAGCCAGUCAAAUUUGGCUGAAUGGAUUGAAUUAGUACAAUUGUAAAAGGUUUAUGAUUCAAUUGGCUAAAAAAAUAAGUUUAAAACUGAAUUGACACAAUUAAAAUAUGUUUAAGAUUUUUUUGGUAAUUUUCCCUGGGCAUGACUUAUAAGCUAGCUAAUUAGAUCGACAUUUCUCAUUGACUAUCUUAGAUUUCGAAGUUUUAACUCAAGAAUUCAUUAACUCUUCCCUCGGCGUCGGCGAAGUAUAUUAGCUUGGCUUCACAAUAGGAAUUGGAACUCCCCGGAAGCAUUCAAGAAGCCUGUGGCGGUUUAAAGUACGCAUAACAAAUAGGACAGCAAAUGGUUCUUUAGGAAAGAUAAUCUAAUCAAGUUAAAACUUUGAAGCGCUUUGAACUAUGUCCGUAAGCAAUAUAUCGGCGUAAAUGCCGCUCUCCGUGAGUCUCCCGGAAAACAAAUUAAUGCAGGAACAUUUCUUGAUUUAGAUGUAUUCACUGUCUGCUGUAUUUAUUUCCUUUCUUGUAUCAACUCGGAGACAGAAGGAUUUAUUUUUAUACAACUUUCUUUUUUCUGCUUGGACUGUACAAGAUCGUGUACUCAAACCUUUCUCCUAAUGGGUCCCUUAAACUGUACCACUUCAUAGCAAUGGUGACGGUGGUCAUGAUAGUUCUCUCCCAGCUCCCGACCUUCCACUCUCUCAGGCACAUUAAUUUGGGUUCACUGUUUCUCAGCUUGGGAUACACCUUCCUUGUAGUUGGUGCUUGUGUUCAUGCAGGUAUUAAAUCCAUGUUUUUCGUGCUUUAAUUGAACUGUAUACGUUUCGGCUUCUUGUUAAUAAAAUGUUUCUUAGCCGCUCAAAACAAAAACUAGUGACAUCGAUGCUUGAUUGGUAAUUGAAUAAAUGUCAUCUAUGGACAUAGAACACCUUUUUGAUAUCACAAAACCUCUAACUUGAACCAGUUUAACCCGUGAAAAAAACUGAAAGAAGAUUGAUUUCUGAGAUGGGUACAAGAAGUUACUGUUGAAUCAUGAAACUGCAUUUCUAGGCAUCUUCAGCUGACACUGCCAGUCUCAUGGCGUGUUGGAGGAUUCUUGUGGAGCUUUCAUUUACUUGCAUGCUUCCUUCGAGGUCGAAUUAGAAAGUCUGUUAUCGGAGCUCUUGUGGAGAGAAGAAACUAGAACUUGACUAUCCAGCCUUCUCUGUAGAGAGCAGUGGCCAGUCGAAUUUUCAGUUUUAUGUCAAAGACCAAACUGGAAAUUAGUCUUACAGCUUUUCACAUUUCCUAUUUCACUCUGAACCCCUAAAAAUUUGUCAUUUUUGUUCUUCAUGGAGGUCGAAUUUUGUACUGGCAAGAGUUAGCUUUUGCAAUAAUGAAUUCUGUAACCUUUUCGGCAUAGAAAAUAACAUAAUUGGCAGCAAUAAUCCUAAAGCAUACUAUUCUUUUUCCAUCGUGGCCAUCUAAUUGACUUCCACAUCUUGCAGGUUUAUCAAAGAAUGCCCCUCCAAGAGACUAUUCCUUGGAAUCUUCAGAGUCAGCAAGGAUUUUUAGUGCUUUCACUUCCAUAUCCAUUAUAGCUGCCAUUUUUGGGAACGGGAUACUGCCUGAAAUACAAGUAAAUCUCAACUUCUGUUUCAUCUUUUAAAAUCACCGUAAGUAUGCUUGCUUAGAAAGUUCUAAUUCCGGGCUAAGAAUCAUCGAGUACUAGAAAGACAUGUUGACGAUUAGUAUUACCUAGCAACGUAGGUUCAUAUCCAUCAGCUGUUAGAAACGUGAACUCUGCUCUGAACUGUUAUGCUUCAUUGCAGGCAACUCUAGCUCCACCUGUGACUGGGAAGAUGGUUAAAGGCCUUCUCAUGUGUUAUACAGUGAUUUUUGUCACAUUCUAUUCUGCUGCUGUGUCUGGAUACUGGGUUUUUGGCAACAAAUCGAACUCAAAUAUACUCAAAAGCCUAAUGCCAGAUAACGGACCUGCUUUAGCUCCGACUUGGGUUCUAGGCCUUGGCGUGGUUUUUGUCCUCCUACAGCUCUUCGCCAUUGGCCUGGUAAACAAACUAGCAGUAGUAGUAGAGUACUCAUUCGAUUUGAAUUUCUAAACUGAUCUCCAAGGGCAUGGAAACAGGUCUACUCUCAAGUGGCAUACGAGAUCAUGGAAAGCCAAUCAGCUGAUGUGAAGCGAGGAAUAUUCUCCCCGCGCAACCUCAUUCCUAGGAUAAUUCUUCGGACUUUGUACAUGGUGUUUUGCGGGUUCAUGGCGGCCAUGCUACCCUUCUUCGGGGACAUCAACGCCAUUGUGGGAGCCAUUGGCUUCAUUCCUCUAGAUUUCGUUCUUCCGAUGGUUCUCUACAACAUCACAUUCAAGCCAACGAAAUCAUCCUUAACCUACUUGAUCAACAUCUCGAUCAUCAUUGUCUUCACCGGUGCAGGGCUAAUGGGCACAUUUUCUUCUAUAAGGAAGUUAAUUCUUGAUGCCAACCAGUUCAAGCUCUUCAGUAGUAACGUGGUAGACUAGGGUACAGGAAAAU
rnacentral:lncRNA from 1 species